GUGUUUUCACAUGUCUGGGGUGCUUCUGGUGGCUGGGCAGUAGUCACAUGCCCAUGUGCUGUGGUGUAUGCUGUGAAAUUUAAAUUUAGAGCUGAAAGCCCAAGGGACUUCAUUGACCUCUUAUUAUCAAUGAAGCACUUCCCCAACAUCACACUUUAUGACUUUGCACGAGGGUUGGCAACACAUGCCAAUACCAGGCUGCCAGGAACAUUCAGACCACACGAUGGACGACUGCUGGAGCCCACCCUGUCAAAUAUUUGUCUUGCCAUUUCAGGGCAAGUCAAAGCCAAUUUGUCGUGGCUAUCCCAGAAAAAGGAGGUUCCUGAUUUUAAUGACCACCCUAUCACUGGGUCAUCAGAGCGUUAUGCUCUGUAUGACUGAUUUCAUGAAGCCAAUACUAAAGAUGCCAGAGAUGUAUUGCGAAGGGUCGAUCUCGCCCCAGAAUUAUGUGACUGGCUGAACAGUCAAUGUGCCGAACAGCUGUUCUCGGGGAUGAGGAAGAAUAACUAUUUUUUAAAUAUGAUGACUCCUUCUUCUCACGUGUUUUUGAUGAGGAAUAUAUUACAUCACUACAACACAGCCAAGAAUUCGGCCACCAUAGAAAAUAUGAAAAAGAUGCUUGGUGUGGGGGUCGACAUCGGAUUUAAUUCUUAUGGUCAGACAGUGCUGGCCGGAAUUAAUGAGGCCCAAGACCCCACCACAACCGCAGAUGAGGCCCAAGAUCCUGCAAUAGCCACAGAUGAGGCCCAAGACCCCACCACAACCACAGAUGAGGCCCAAGAUUCUGCCAUGGCCACAGAUCAAGUACCAAAC